rnacentral:lncRNA from 1 species
AGGUAUGUUUCCUAACUACCACUACCAUGUCCCAACCCCUUACUUACCAUGCAGUACUGAAAUAUAUUCCUACCCAGUCUAGAAAUGGCAGGCUACUUUAUGAUGUCAAAAUGGGAAUGGUAAACAUUUGGUUCCAGUCAUUUCUUUUACUGGAGAGAGACAUCCCUCCAUAAUAAUGGUUUGACAGUACACCGCUCUCUCUGAUUCCUGUCAUGUAUUGUAAGCACCCUCAACUUCCAUGUUACACAGGGGAGAAAGGAAUGGGUGCGUAUGGCGAACCUCUGUGGUACAAGGGAUCCACAUUCCACAGGAUCAUCCCAGGCUUCAUGAUUCAAGGAGGUGAUUUCGUAAACCACAACGGAACAGGCUGCGAUACCAUUUAUGGCAAAGACGUCUUCCCUGACGAGAACUUCAAGCUCAACCACGCCGAACCUGGUGACUAACUGUGCUACAUGAAAUUAACCUGCUUGAAGCACUGGUCAGUGCUCAGGUCUGAUCAGCUGCAUUGCAGGUACCAUAUCCAUGGCCAAUUAUGGGAAAGACACAAACGGAUGCCAGUUUGCCAUCACCACCGUAGAAGGAAGCAAGUAAUCAUCUUCCUCUGGUUCUUUGAGCAUCAUCACUAGUCUAAUCACCGUAGCGCCAUUUUAAUUUCUACAACAAAAGAUUUUCUUUGCUCCCUCUUGAGAAUUAAUGCUUGUCAUUGACCGUUCCUUUUCUUCUUCAUGCUAAGAUUACCGAAGAAAUUGGAUGGGGUACAUGUUGUGUUCGGCAAGGUGGUGAGUGGAAUGGACGUGGUCCACAAGAUUGAAGCUCAAGGCCAGCCGAGUGGUGUUCCCAAGGCCAAAGUCCUCAUAGCUGACAGCGGAGAGCUGCCCGGAUCUGAUGAGCUGUGACCAUCCAUUUUGAUGGAAACUAACAUCUGUUAGCAAAGCAAGUGCGGUUGUUUUUCAGCGUGGAAUUGUGACCACCGUAGUCUUGUUUGAUUUGGUUGGGGGCAGUUUAUGUUGACUACAAUGUCUAGUUCAUAUAUGUACUUAUUAUUGGGGAAUUAUUAGAUGAACAAACAAAAUCGUAGUGAUCUCUUCUUUAAUUUAUAUAUUAAGAACUCCCUUGUUUAAGAGAAGAUGCAGGUUAAACUGCUGGUUUAUAUGUUUUAAGUUUUAACAGUGAAGGAGUUGACAUGAAACUAAAAAGAAUACUAUCCACGUGAUUAUGAACCAGUACCACAAACGUCACCAGAGAGAGAGAGAACCGACUAAUUAUCCUAUACAAGAGGGAGAGGGGUCCUCCUUAGGGUCAUUUGGUUCUUCAGGAUUGUACCAGGAAUCUUUUCAGCUGAUUAAAAGGUUAUAUAAAUUAGGCUAACAAUCCGACAGUAAUCGUUCCAAGGGAUGGAUCUCUAGCAACCGAACAAGCCCUUUAAUGAAAAACAUGCGGAGGAUAAAAAACAAUACGACUCGAACAAAUACAUUAUACUUGUUUGGUGAAAAAUAUCAAUAUAUUAUUCAGAGUUCAGGGACACUGUACAAAUCCGUUUCUUGUUAUUAUAUAUUAUAGCCCUGUUCGUUUGGCCGAUAAGUUAUAGCAGAAAAUAUUAUUCGUUGAUCUGCUUAAUGACUGGCAGAAGCAGAAAAUAUUGUUCGCUGAAUGACUGACAGACAUAUAUACAUGGGAGAAAGGAACGGCCAAGUCCGGCUAGCCUCUGUGGUACAAGGGAUCCACGUUCCAUAGGAUCUUACCGCAUGACCUGCUCAUCCUUGCUGUGAUAACUGGCAAACGUCUUAGCCAUUGUCUAUUUGUAGCUAACAGGCAGUUGCAGGAGGCCAUGAGCCCAAUGUGCGGUCCACGACGAUCAGCUCUCACAGACCCUCAGUUUUGACAGUGCGGUCCAGGACGAUCAGCUCUCACAAACCCUCAGUUUUGACAGUGGCUCACCAGCAGCCAGCACUCCUCCUUGUAAGGACAGUAUAGACACUGCAGAAAUUGGACCAAGAAAAGCUCAGGCUCAUCGGCACCCAGUGACCGACGACGAGGAGGAACCAGCGGCCGGCGAGAGGCAAACCGCAAUGGCGAUGAGGAGCACGACGGCGAGGGCUAUCCCGCUGUGCCUAUGGCUCGCGCUCGGCGUGGCCACCCUGACGCUGCCCCAGGUGCGCCUCCAUCUCUGCCUCCCAUUGCAUUGCCACUGCUCAUCACUGGCAUUGUUAUCCUGAGAUCCCUUCGUUUAUGCUAUGCUAUGCAUCCUAUAAAUUGCUGCCACCACCACUUGUCAUCGUUUAUGCAUUGGUUGUUCAUAGGCACAUGCAGCAGAGGCAGACGCGGACCUCACCAAGAUCACCAGCAAGGUCUUCUUCGACAUCCAGAUCGACGGCAAGCCCGAAGGUUUGUUUCUGCGUGCAAAUAUGUGGCGGCCCUUCUGAGGCUGAGAUUUGCCAGCCCUAGCUAGUUGUACCAUUAGCCAUGCGUGCUGAUUCCUGAAUCUUUUGACGCUCCAACCUGACUAACAUUGGAGUGAUCAUGGAUUUAAAUAGGCCGGAUUGUCAUUGGACUCUUUGGGAAGACUGUUCCCAAGACAGCAGGUAUCAUCAACUUAUUGCUGUUCGAUCGGUUCAGCAAAUGUGAACAAAUGUUGGGUCUCAAAUGUUAACUGUAUUUGUGUAUUUUUCUUUUCAGAGAACUUCAGAGCACUUAGCACAGGUAUGCUUCCUAACUACCACUAUCAUGUCCCAACCCCUUACUUAUAUACCAUGCAGUACUGAAACAUAUUCCUACCCAGUCUAGAAAUGGCAGGCAACUUAUGAUGUCAAAAUGGGAAUGGUAAACAUUAUUAGGUGCCCUCCAGUCAUUUCUUUUACAAAAUUUUUUACUGGAGAGAGAUCCCUCCAUAAUAACGGUUUAGCAGUAUACCGCUCUCUCUCUCUCUCUCUCUCUCUCUCUCUCUCUCUCUCUCUCUCUCUCUCUCUGAUUCCUGUCAUUUAUUGUAAAGCACCCUCAACUUCCAUGUUACACAGGGGAGAAAGGAAUAGGUGCUUAUGGCGAACCUCUGUGGUACAAGGGAUCCACAUUCCACAGGAUCAUCCCAGGCUUCAUGAUUCAAGGAGGCGAUUUCGUAAACC